AAGCGGGAAACUAGCUUCAAGAUAAGUAUUCUAAGAGGAAGCUUCGAGAACAGGAGCUGGAUAGGUUGGGGGUGUACGCGCAGUAAUGUGUUUAGCUGACCAAUACUAAUCGAACGAAAUUUUAAUCAG
rnacentral:rRNA from 1 species